GGACUACCGGGGUAUCUAAUCCCGUUUGCUCCCCCAGCUUUCGCUUCUCAGCGUCAGAUGCCGACCAGAAAGCCGCCUUCGCCACUGGUGUUCCUCCUGAUAUCUACGCAUUUCACCGCUACACCAGGAAUUCCACUUUCCUCUUCGGAUCUCAAGGUUGGCAGUUUCCCUGAAGAGUCCAGAGUUGAGCUCUGGAUUUUAUUCAGGGACAUACCAAUCCGCCUACAAGCGCUUUACGCCCAGUAAUUCCGGACAACGCUAGCCCCCUACGUUUUACCGCGGCGGCUGGCAC
rnacentral:rRNA from 1 species